rnacentral:rRNA from 1 species
GACGAACGCUGGCGGCGUGCUUAACACAUGCAAGUCGAACGAAGAGCGAUGGAAGCUUGCUUCUAUCAAUCUUAGUGGCGAACGGGUGAGUAACGCGUAAUCAACCUGCCCUUCAGAGGGGGACAACAGUUGGAAACGACUGCUAAUACCGCAUACGAUCCAAUCUCGGCAUCGGGACUGGAUGAAAGGUGGCCUCUAUUUAUAAGCUAUCACUGAAGGAGGGGAUUGCGUCUGAUUAGCUAGUUGGAGGGGUAACGGCCGACCAAGGCGAUGAUCAGUAGCCGGUCUGAGAGGAUGAACGGCCACAUUGGGACUGAGACACGGCCCAGACUCCUACGGGAGGCAGCAGUGGGGAAUCUUCCGCAAUGGACGAAAGUCUGACGGAGCAACGCCGCGUGAGUGAUGACGGCCUUCGGGUUGUAAAGCUCUGUUAAUCGGGACGAAUGGUUCUUGUGCGAAUAGGGCGAGGAUUUGACGGUACCGGAAGAGAAAGCCACGGCUAACUACGUG